rnacentral:tRNA from 1 species
GGUCAUGGUUCAGUGGUAGAGCACUUGCUUAGCAUGUGUGACGCACUGGGUUCAAUCCCCAGUACCA